rnacentral:rRNA from 1 species
UACGUAGGUGGCAAGCGUUGUCCGGAUUUACUGGGCGCAGAGCGUGCGCAGGCGGACUCUUAAGUAGGAAGUGAAAGGUUGGAGCUCAACUCUAACACUGUUCCCUAUACUGGGGGUCUUGAGUGCCGGAGAGGAAGACGGAACGACACGUGUAGCGGUGAAAUGCGUUGAGAUGUGUCGGAACACCAAUGGCGAAAGCAGUCUUCUGGACGGAUACUGACGCUCAGGCACGAAAGCCAAGGUAGCAAACAGG